GACGAACGCUGGCGGCGUGCUUAACACAUGCAAGUCGAACGGUGAAGGGGUCUGCUUUUGUGGGCCCUGGAUGAGUGGCGAACGGGUGAGUAACACGUGAGUAACCUGCCCCCUUCUUCUGGAUAACCGCAUGAAAGUGUGGCUAAUACGGGAUAUUCUGGGUCUGUCGCAUGAUGGGUCUGGGAAAGAUUGCGCCUUUGGGUGUUUUUGGUGGGGGAUGGGCUCGCGGCCUAUCAGCUUGUUGGUGGGGUGAUGGCCUACCAAGGCGGUGACGGGUAGCCGGCCUGAGAGGGUGGACGGUCACACUGGGACUGAGACACGGCCCAGACUCCUACGGGAGGCAGCAGUGGGGAAUAUUGCACAAUGGGCGCAAGCCCGAUGCAGCGACGCCGCGUGAGGGAUGGAGGCCUUCGGGUUGUAAACCUCUUUCGCCAGUGAAGCAGGCCUGCUCCUUGUGGGUGGGUUGACGGUAGCUGGAUAAGAAGCGCCGGCUAACUACGUG
rnacentral:rRNA from 1 species